rnacentral:rRNA from 1 species
UAUGUGAUCGUCUCUCGCAUAUCAAUAAGCGGAGGAAAAGAAACUAACAAGGAUUCCCCUAGUAACGGCGAGUGAAGCGGGAAGAGCUCAAAUUUGAAAUCUUAAAGGGUUUCCCUUUACGAAUUGUAGUUUAAAGAAGUGUUUUCUGUUGAGGUUUUGGUAAAAGUUCUUUGGAAUAGGACAUCAUAGAGGGUGAGAAUCCCGUAUUUGACCUUUACUUUCAACUUUGUGAUACACUUUCAAAGAGUCGGAUUGUUUGGGAAUGCAGUCCAAAAUGGGUGGUAAAUUUCAUCUAAAGCUAAAUAUUGGCGAGAGACCGAUAGCGAACAAGUACCGUGAGGGAAAGAUGAAAAGAACUUUGAAAAGAGAGUUAAACAGUACGUGAAAUUGUCAAAAGGGAAGCGUUUGACACCAGUGUUGUUUUUCUGAAAAUCAAUUAAAGAACUGCUUAUGCUAAGUUGUUUAGACUUUAUCAGCUAACUGUUUAGUUUUGAGCUUUUCUUUAAUGCACUUUUCAGUUAACAAGUCAACAUCAAUUUCUUUUGCUGUAAAAAAGCUUGAGGAAGGUGGCUUGAGAUUCGUCUUAAGUGUUUAUAGCCUCUUGCCUAUGCAGUCGGAGAGAUUGAGGUCUGCAGCGUAGAUCCUUCGGGGCUAAAUGCAUUUGUGCUAAGUUAUAGCAUUUUAUAGACAACUUGUUGACUAUGAUUUGUCUUGUAGCUUACUCGCUUAUGUUAUUUUACCUACGCUUAGGAUGUUGAGUAGCGACAUACGCAC